UUGAAGAUAUUUAUGAGAAUUGUUCUCAAUAAUAAAUGAUUACUGAUGGAGGUACUUCAUGAUGAACACUGUCCCUUUGGACUAAUGGUAUGGUAGAUCUCUCUACCAAUACAAUUGUAUUAACAGCCAGUCAGUUGCAAACAAAAGUUUGACAAUCAGCCUAAAACAAGACCUUCAUUGGUCAAGUUUAUAAACAUCUUGUCAAGCUAUGGAUAUUGCACUGAYACAGACCUAUAAAAAAGGUCUACAAUUCAAAACAAACACUGAUGAAGGAUGAAGUCAACCAAGACUAGAAUAAUUUUUUUGUGCUGGGGGACUGACUUACAAUGCAGUAUUUCACAUGAAAUCACAUCUCAGAUGAGACUGCAAGAUUGAGAUUUUUUCCUUCAAAAUCCAUUUAUGGAGAACUUAUUUAAAAGCUGUAAAGACCACAAUAU